rnacentral:rRNA from 1 species
UACGGAGGAUGCGAGCGUUAUCCGGAUUUAUUGGGUUUAAAGGGUGCGUAGGCGGGCUUUUAAGUCAGCGGUAAAAAUUCGGGGCUCAACCCCGUCCGGCCGCUGAAACUGGGGGCCUUGAGUGGGCGAGAAGAAGGCGGAAUGCGUGGUGUAGCGGUGAAAUGCAUAGAUAUCACGCAGAACCCCGAUUGCGAAGGCAGCCUUCCGGCGCCCUACUGACGCUGAGGCACGAAAGUGCGGGGAUCGAACAGG